UAUGGCCACAUCACAUUGGAACACCAAUUCCUGUAUGAUCACUGAAAUUAAGCAACAUCAAGCCUAGUCAGUACCCAGAUGGGUGACCGCUUGGGAAUACCAGCUGCUGUAAG